GGAACCAAACAUGAACCAGCAGGAGUACAGGGGCAGAGUUAAGUCCAUAAAACUGUGAUGUUGAGAGAUGCUACAGAAGUCUAUGGCCCAACAGGGAGUGAAAGACAGAACUGGCUUAUAUACUAGGAGGUGGAAUUGCAAACAGGUGACGAGUGUGAGCUAAUUACAGCAGCUGAUUGACAGUGCUGCACUCAGACUGCAGGCAGGUGGAACAUUCAGGAAGCAGAGACACAAGAGAGAGGGAGAAAUGCAGACAGACAGAGGGAGCCAGAGAUACAAGACAAGGAGAGAGAGAAGACAUGGGGCAAUUGAGGGAGAGGAAUAUUAGAGAGAGACCACAGAGAGUAAGAAUAGAGAGAUGAUGACAGACAGAGGCGGACUUACCAUUAGGCAAACACAGGCAAUUGCCUGGGGCCCCAAGAUUUCCAGGGCCCCCCAAACGUCUCGUGAAAGCUGAUUAAUAAAGGUGUUUUUUUAUUUGAAGCAAUUACUAUUGUUGUAGUCUUAAUUUGCACGCUUAAAAAUAAAUAAAAAUGGUUGAUUUAUCACUAUCAUGAUCGUUAUCCCCCCUCCUGUCUCGCGCAAUGGACUAUUCCAUGUUACUGCGCACGCGCAGGCUUGAUUCAGGAAGACGGCAGCAAAACAAACUUGUUGGCGCGGUUUUGAGAGAGCGGGUGAGCAGUGAGAAAGAUGAAGCGGAGUUAUCUGAGUGGAGCGGAGAAGAGAAGAAGGCGAGAAGAAAAUAAACAGUUUUUAUCAAAACUACAGAAGGUAUCAACCUUUUUCACGGUGACACCGAGUGGGGAUUCUCUGCAACAGCUAGAGCUAGAUGCUGCUGUCAGUAGCAGCUCUGCUGUCAGUAGCAGCUCUGCUGUCAGUGUCAGCUGAGGAGAUGUGGCGAGUGAAGCUAGGGAUUCUUUUCAUGAAGAUAAACGUAACAUACAACUUCAUCCAGGCUGAACCUGCUGCUGCUGCCACACUAAAGACGUGUUGAGGAUUAAACGCUGAAUGAUGAACACCCCCCUGUGGCUCGGCAACAUGGUUCAUUCCAUCACAUGUGGGGAGAUUCCCAAUAUCAGUAAACAACGUUUUCAUGUCCCAGUAUUACAUUUAUGUGUGUUUUAUAAUGUUUAAAUGUUUACUGACGGUUAAUGCAAAAAUAUUUACUGGCAGUCAAUGUACCGGAAAUGUGUUGAACCUUUUUUCCUCCAUCUGUACACAUUUGGCGGUUUUUAACUGUUAACUUUAAAGCCUCUAAGGUCCGUGUAUAUUUUGGUAAUUGGAUUUUCCGUUCUAAAGCAGGUAUUGAAAAACAAAAAACGAGUGGUUAUUUGAUUUUCGUUUUCAAAGGCAAAAAUUAAAAUUGAAAUACAAGGCGUUUUUCCUUUUCACGAUCAAAAAUGGAUAUACGAAUUUUAAAAAAUGCUUUGAUUUUCAUUUUUUAUUUACAAAAACAAAAAAUAAAAUAAGUCAGAGACAGAAACGAAAUAAGAACCGUUUUUCAUUUUCUGAGACCGGAAGUGGUCAUCAGCAAGGGUGGUCAGAUUGAAUCAGAGCCGAGGACUCUCUGUCCCACCCACAUUUACCGGCUUCUGCUGUUUAUGGAUGCUGCUACCGCUGCUGCUGACAACGUUAGCUUCCAAAAGUGGAGAUAAACUCUACAGCCUUGGUCUGGAUCAUUGGGAACAUCUGAUCUGAUGGACUGAAAGCUACAGAGAACAUGAACAUCCAGCUGUGGUUGUCUGAACAGUCUUCUCUCCAUCACUGUGAGGAAGAGCAGCACUGAUGUCCUCCUCAUGCUUCCAUUAAGAACAAUGAUGCUGCAGAUUAAGCUCCUCUCUUCAUAAUACUUGUCUUGUGACUGUUCAGUUUUUACACUUCACUGUCAGCAACACAUUAUUUAUUUCAUCCAUUUAUUACAUGUUUACACAUCUUUACAGUUCACAGUUGUUAAAUAAUGCAGUUUUUAAAUGUGCAAUGAAGGAAAUAAUGAAGCUCUUGA